rnacentral:rRNA from 1 species
UAAAACGUAGGAGGCAAGCGUUAUCCGGAUUUACUGGGCGUAAAGCGCGUGCAGGCGGUUUGGAAAGUUGGAUGUGAAAGCUCCCGGCUUAACUGGGAGAGGUCGUUCAAAACUACCAGACUAGAGGGCGAUAGAGGGAGGUGGAAUUCCGGGUGUAGUGGUGAAAUGCGUAGAUAUCCGGAGGAACACCAGUGGCGAAAGCGGCCUUCUGGAUCGUACCUGACGCUCAGACGCGAAAGCUAGGGUAGCAAACGGGAUUAGAGACCCCGGUAGUCCUAGCCGUAAACGAUGUAGACUUGGCGUCGGCGGGUUUAAAUCCGUCGGUGCCGAAGCAAACGCGAUAAGUCUACCGCCUGGGGACUACGGCCGCAAGGUUAAAACUCAAAGGAAUUGACGG